rnacentral:tRNA from 3 species
GCGGAAGUAGCUCAGUUGAUAGAGCAUUAGCCUUCCAAGCUGAGGGUCGCGGGUUUGAGCCCCGUCUUCCGCUCUC